AAAAGGAAUUGUCUAAAAUGCAUAAACUAUCUGAAAAGAAGCAACAAUUGUUAGAAAAGUUGGAGUCCAAUCAGAAAGAACUACAAGAAGCUCAGCAACUUGAAGCUACCCAGCCAGGCAGUGUCAGUGCACACAGACUGGAGGAGUUGUCAGAGCAAAGGAAACAUUUGACUGCAGAACUAGAGGCAACAAUGGAUGACAUACAAAAAAUACCUCGCUAUGCAUCAGAAAAAGCUAUAUUUAUAUCACCUGUUGGUAAGAGCAAGAUAAAGUAAUUUGCAUUUUAAUCAAUGGCACUCUGGGUGUGGGUGGAUUGCAAUUCCCAUCAUCCUCUGUCAUAGCCCCCUCCCCAAUUCCCUCCAGUUUUUUCUGUUGGUCAAAGAAGGGGGGUCUGUGUGCCAUGUUUGGUUCGGAUUCAUCAUCAGUGGGGUUCACAGUGCUGCCUGGAUGCAGGUUGGAUUACAGCUCUCAUCAUUCUGGGUCAGGCUCACCAAACCUCUCCAGUAUUUUCUGUUGAUCAUUUUGGUCAUUUGUGCCAUGUUUGGUCCAGAUCGGUCUUCGGUGAUUUUCACAGUGCUCUCUGGGUGCAGGUUGACUCAUGCUGAGUCAGUCCCAAAAAAUCCUCCAGUAAUUUCUGUUGGUCUUGGGUGGGUUGUGUGCCAGGUUUGUUCCAGAUCUGUCAUUGGUGGUGUUCAUAGUGCUCUCAGGAUGUAGGGUGGACUACAACUACCAACAUGGUGGGCCAGUCCCCCCAAACACCUCCGUUGUUUUCUGGUGGUCAUGUUGGACAUGUAGCAAAUUUGGUCCAGAUCCAUUAUCAAUGGGGCUCACAGUGCUCUCUGGAAUUUUUCCCUGGAUGUGACGUGAACUGUAAAUUCCCUCAUCCAGGGCCAAAACCCCUGCCCAAAUCCCUCCCGUAUUUUCUGUUGGUCAUGGAGGGUAAGUGUGAAAUUAUAUGUGAUUUUACAAGUGAAAUUCUUUUAUUUGACGUUUUAAAAUUUCUGCUUUCAGAAAGGGAAUUGUCUAAAAUGCAUAAACUAUCUGAAAAGAAGCAACAAUUGUUAGAAAAGCUGGAGUCCAAUCAGAAAGAGCUACAAGAAGCUCAGCAACUUGAAGCUACCCAGCCAGGCAGUGUCAGUGCACACAGACUGGAGGAGUUGUCAGAGCAAAGGAAACAUUUGACUGCAGAACUGGAGGCAACAGUGGAUGACAUACAAAAAAUACCUCGCUAUGUAUCAGAAAAAGCUAUAUUUAUACCACCUGUUGAAAGGGAAUUGUCUAAAAUGCAUAAACUAUCUGAAAAGAAGCAACAAUUGUUAGAAAAGUUGGAAUCUAAUCAGAAAGAGUUACAAGAGGCUCAACAUCUUGCAGCUACCCAGCCAGGCAGUGUCAGUGCACACAGGCUGGAGGAGUUGUCCGAGCAAAGGAAACAUUUGACUGAAGAACUAGAGGCAACAGUAGAUGACAUGCAAAAAAUGCCUCGUUAUGCAUCAGAAAAAGCUAUAUUUAUACCCCCUGUUGAAAGGGAAUUGUCUAAAAUGCAUAAACUAUCUGAAAAGAAGCAAUUAUUGUUAGAAAAGCUGGAAUCUAAUCAGAAAGAGUUACAAGAAGCUCAGCAACUUGCAGCUACCCAGCCAGGCAGUGUCAGUGCACACAGGCUGGAGGAGUUGUCUGAGCAAAGGAAACAGUUGACUGCAGAUUUGGAGGCAACAGUGGAUGACAUGCAAAAUGCAUACUGUUAUGCCACAGAAAGAGCUGUAUUUGUACCACCUUUUGGUAAGUACAGGAUAAAUUAG
rnacentral:lncRNA from 1 species